rnacentral:lncRNA from 1 species
UUUUUUCCCAUUGAGAUGGGUUUCCCUUCAAUGUCUGGUGAUUCUUCAUUGUUCACAUUUAAUAGUGACACGUGAAGAAGGAGAAUGAGUCUGUGUUAUCAUUAGUGAAAGGCUCGUCUAGAUGGUGAUUCUUCACUGUUCACAUUUAAUAGUGACACGUGAAGAAGGAGAAUGAGUCUGUGUUAUCAUUAGUGAAAGGCUUGUCUAGAUGGUGAUUCUUCAUUGUUCACAUUUAAUAGUAACACAUGAAGGAGAAUGAGUCUGUGUUAUCAUUAGUGAAAGGCUCGUCUAGGUGGUGAUUCUUCACUGUUCACAUUUAAUAGUAACACAUGAAGGAGAAUGAGUCUGUGUUAUCAUUAGUGAAAGGCUCGUCUAGAUGGUGAUUCUUCACUGUUCACAUUUAAUAGUGACACGUGAAGAAGGAGAAUGAGUCUGUGUUAUCAUUAGUGAAAGGCUCGUCUAGAUGGUGAUUCUUCACUGUUCACAUUUAAUAGUGACACGUGAAGAAGGAGAAUGAGUCUGUGUUAUCAUUAGUGAAAGGCUCGUCUAGGUGGUGAUUCUUCACUGUUCACAUUUAAUAGUAACACAUGAAGGAGAAUGAGUGUGUUAUCAUUAGUGAAAGGCUCGUCUAGGUGGUGAUUCUUCACUGUUCACAUUUAAUAGUAACACGUGAAGGAGAAUGAGUGUGUUAUCAUUAGUGAAAGGCUCGUCUAGAGGUUUUGCUUCGGGGAGUCGAUGGGGUUUCCGCAUGUUAGUAAGUGAUGCCUUUGGUCUGGAUGGUUUCCUUCCUCUGGAGAAAACCUUCUCCUCUCCUCUCUGGAAGGCAGCUGCUUGCUUGUUGGUUGUUGGUGUUCUACUCACUGGUUACCCGAGGGGUGGGGUGCUGGCAUCGGUGAGGGAGGAUAAUGAGGGUUGACUGUCAAUGUACAGAUUUUAAUCGACCCUCCUGUUUUCUGAUGCCUGCCUCACUUCUCUGCCCCUCACCCCCAGGAAGGUCCACAGAUGAUGCUCCUUCUCACGGAUGCGAGGCCAUCAAAUCACUUUUUGUCUCCGCUGCUCUCUCUCCAUCGUGGAUAGCCACCAUGGUUUCUCAGGAGGGAAAGGACACAACUGGGAGUAUCAAGUCCAAAAUGAAGCUCUUCAAACCAUCUGGGAAGAGAAAACAGCAUGACAAGGAAAGGUGUAUUUGUCUGAUCCCAGUAAUCAAUAUAAACAUCAAUGAUAACCCCACCUAUUUUUUUAAAUGUAUGAUUUGGAUGAAACAAGAGAAAGAGACUGAUUGUUGCUGAGUCCCUGCUGCAGUCCUGACACAGCUCUCCUUAUUUUGUUGAUGCUCAUGAGGACCCUGAUGUCUGAGGAAGAAGGUUCCCGUCCAGCUCUGCCCCUGGUGUGUCACAUGCCGGCCUUGUCAACGCACACGAGAACCUGACAGGGUGAGUGUUAUAACCCAGUCAUAGAAAAGGAAACUGGCUCUAAAGUGUAUGGCAUCUUGCCCAAGUUCUGACACUUAGCAGAGGCCUGAGUUUAAAUACAGCCUCGUCUUGCUCUUCGACAGCCUCAGCACCACAUGCCCUGGGUGGCCCACGCAGUGAGUCACUGACAGCCCUCGUGGUUGGCCCGUGGCACAGCAUGGAGCGAAAUGGUCCAGUGACCUUUUCAGACACUCGGGCAAUGCGUGGUAUAGUGUAUGUGGUCACUCCCAGUGAGUCCUAUUGUUCAGUUUAAUAGAAUAUCUAAUUCUAUGUUUAUUCUGAAUAAAGGGAGAUUUCUUGUGGUUUUUAAGAAUAUGAAGCAUAUCUAUUUUGCCUACAAGUUGGAAGUUCCGAUACUGUAGGAAGCAUAAGUGCAGGUUAUAAUGAUGGGUUUUUUAUAAGACUGAAUUCACAUCAAACUGAAUCAGUAACUCCAGCUGUAUGAACAGGGUGAAACAUUAAACAUUUAAUGAAAACAAUUCCUUUCUUAGGUCACAGCAAGGACUAAAUAUGUCCAAUUAUCAUGCCCACUAAGAAGAUGUAUUGUAAUAUUUGCAGUUAAUCACUCAUUCACUUCAAAGGGUGUUUAUUAAUUGUCUGCUCUGGGCAUAACAUUAAUUGGAAGCAGUGUGUUCACAUGGAAACAAAACUUACCUGAGACUCUCAGUCACAACUUUCCAUGACCAGUACACGUUUCUAAUUUGAAAUACAUAUCUAAGGCUUCAAAUGCAUAAAUAGGUAUCCCAAUGUAGAACUAAGUCAAUAGUUGCUUUGAAUUAAUUGUUUAAAUUAACCUGGGAAUCGGAAAGAUAUGUCUCCAUGAAACAAUAAAGGCUGUGUUAGAAUUAGUAAACUUUAGAAGAGCAUUUUAAUCCUAAUAUAUAAACAUACUACCUAGGCACACUGUUUAAAUACAUCUGCAACCUACUAUUUUUAGAUUUAAGAAAAUCAUUAAACCUUAAAUUUGGAAAAGAUUCCAGUGUUAGACCUCUAGACUAUGAAACUUGAAUGUUUUUCUAAACUCUUUGAGUUUUAUCCAGAAAUACAGAUUUUCCUGGCACUGACAACUGCAAGAAAUUUCACUUGGAGUCUCCACAUAGUCAACCAUGUGAUGUUAACAUCAGUGUAAUAGAUACUAUCACAAACA